rnacentral:tRNA from 3 species
GCUGGAGUGGCGGAAUUGGUAUACGCGCUAGUCUUAGGAACUAGUACCGCAAGGUUUGAGGGUUCGAGUCCCUCCUCCAGCA